ACGCGUAGAACCUUGCCCGNACUUGACAUGCGGUAGACAGUUCUAGAGAUAGAAUCUUCCUUCGGGACUGCUGCACAGGUGCUGCAUGGCUGUCGUCAGCUCGUGCCGUGAGGUGUUGGGUUAAGUCCCGCAACGAGCGCAACCCUUAUCAUUAGUUGCCAACAUUUAAGGUGGGAACUCUAAUGAGACUGCCUGGGUUAACCAGGAGGAAGGUGAGGAUGACGUCAAGUCCGCAUGGCCCUUAUGUCUGGGGCUACACACGUGCUACAAUGGUCGGUACAGAAGGCAGCGAAGCCGCGAGGUGAAGCAAAUCCAAAAAGCCGAUCCCAGUUCAGAUUGUAGUCUGCAACUCGACUACAUGAAGAUGGAAUUGCUAGUAAUGGCGAGUCAGCAACAUCGCCGUGAAUACGUUCCCGGGUCUUGUACACACCG
rnacentral:rRNA from 1 species